rnacentral:lncRNA from 1 species
UGUAAUAUUGUAAGAAAAUCUAUGCAUGAAUAUAUUCUUCAUUAAAAAGUCAUUUAUUCUCUAUUGAUCUUGUACAUGUGUUCACUGUAUUGUGCUCUAGGGGCGAUAACUCUAAUUGAUUUUUCGAUUGAUUCGCUCUGGUUGAGUGUACUUGGAUAACAAUGACAGACGCUUUGACGAAUUAGUCACCUUUUGAUAAAUGUAGUUUUAAAAGUGUAAACAAAGAUGACAAAUUAUUAAUAUCGUUUAAAUGGAUAGGUAAAGUUAUACAGGUCGGUUACUCAGAUCUUAAGGACGGAGCGUGAAUGUUUACGAAUAAUAAGAUGUUUUCAAAAAGUUGACACUGAAGGAGAAAAAAUAUUUACACCUGGAUUUAAUAUUUGUUUCAACAACGUUGGACAGAGAACAAAGGAAAAAAGGAAAAGGAAAAUAGAAAGAGAAAGUGAAGUACAUCACGGAAAAAGGAAUAAACAUAUGUUUCAUAUAUAAUCUUUAAAUGAGGAUUGGAAUAUUUACUGUACCUAUUGACCAGGAUUUUUACAAAGUGGAAUAGUUAGUCAGUACCACAAAGAGAAAGCUUUUUACAGACCUUGGACAAAAAGGAUUACAAAUAUUUAUCUUAUAAACAGCUUGUUGGAAAUACUGGUAAUAUGCACUUAAAGAUUUGCUAAAAUAUUCUUAUAUUAAAAUUUGAAAUGGCUAUUUAAAUUCUCUACUUGAAAUUUAACUUAUAUUAAAAUGAACAAUUUAAAAUCUUCUAACAGUUAAUAUGUAUAGAAUGUAAACAAAUUUGUUUCUAAUGUAUUUACACCUGUAGAACCUAAUAUUUUUCAUAAUAACAAUAACUUAAGUGUCAUAGUUUAAUUUGAAAUAUAUAUCACUUGUCAUUUUUUUUAAAUCAAAGAAAUAGAGAGAAAAAAACAUACAUAAUUGCAAUUUAGUUUUAUUGGAUUAGAUGAUAAAAGUUAUGAUUUGACAUGAGUGAACUUUUGAUCUAUUGGUCAUGGAAAUUGAUUGACACUUUUUGUUUAUAAUAGUUUUUGAUAACUUAUCAGAUUUUUAGAAUAUUAAUAAAUUUUAAUGAUAGCAAAACUGAUUUUAUAGUUUUAAAUGUAUUGAAGAUAGAAGGUAAUAGCAUUCGCUUACUAUUUUUGUUUUUCAUAAAUUCCACAGAUACUGAAUUUCUUUAAAUAUUUUGAGAGGGUAUUAACACAUUUUCAAUUUUAAUCUUAAGUUUUACUUUUGUAGUAACUGUCCAAUGUCCUAUUCAAGUAUUUAAUUACAGAGAAGAAUUUAAAUUUGUAUAUUGAAAUUUCACAGAUUAAAAUUUUACAAUCAUGAUAGAUAGUAAAGUUAUGUAAUGUAGAUAUUUCAAGUUAUUCAUGAUUUGUUAAGCAAUGAGUUACAUUUAUAAUUAUUUUUGUAAGUCAUUUAAAAGAAUGAGUUUUUUCUAAAGAGGAAGGGCUUCAAAUAAACAAGUGUAACGGAGUGAAGAGCUAUCAAAAGAUUAAAUAUAAUUUACAUUUUAUUUAUCAGUUGAAAUUUGAAUAACAUACUUGUAAGGAAAGAUAAUCUCACCGCUUGAAUCACCUUGAUAAUCUAAAACAGGUUAUAAUAAUUUUUUGGUGGGUUUUUCUAAUCUAGGUUUAAAUAGAAUUUCAAAGUAAAAACAUAUGACUAAAUAGGGUUAAACUAACUUUGAGUACAACUUAAAACAGUGGGAAUUCAUUUGUCAUAAAGUCUGCAAUUUUGUGUGAAAAGCUGAAAUUCAUUGUUAUUUGAACCAUGGAUAAUUUAUGGCUUAGAAAAUUCAAAAGAUUAGGAUUUUAUUGUGGUCAUGUUAGGACAGUAAACCAUUCUUGGUCUAUAAUUAUCAAGUCAGAAUAAAUAAUUAGUUGUUUAGGACCAUAAUAUAGUGAUUUUAAGGUUAAGGAAAAUAUAGGGUUUUGCUUGUUCCUGUGGAGCACUUAAAAACCUAUUAGUAUUUUAAUUGUUCUCUUGUUUUGGUUGAAUAGAGGCUGACCACAAGACUUAAUCACUGGAGAAAAAUAUAACCACACAUAGUCACAGUGCAUUUAGGCAGAACAGAAACCAGCUUCACUCUCUAAUGGACUUUUUCAAUUUCACUGAGGAUUAAAAAUAGAUUUAUAUCUGGACCAGAGAUAGAUAAUCUGACAAUUGUAAACAAGGAUUGUUUAUAUAGACAAAAUGUUUUGAAGUUGAACAUUCAGGAUAUCAGGAUUAAUAAU